rnacentral:rRNA from 1 species
CGUCUAGGCGGACUUUCAAGUCGAGCGUGAAAUUCCACGGCUCAACCGUGGACCUGCACUCGAUACUGUUGGUCUUGAGUACGGAAGAGGAAAGCGGAAUUCCUGGUGUAGCGGUGAAAUGCGUAGAUAUCAGGAAGAACACCGGUGGCGAAGGCGGCUUUCUGGUCCGAUACUGACGCUGAAGCGCGAAAGUGUGGGGAGCAAACAGGAUUAGAUACCCUGGUAGUCC